GUCUCUUCGGAGAUACACGAGUGGCGCACGGGUGCGUAACGCGUAUGCAACCUACCUUUAACUGGGAAAUAGCCCCGAGAAAUCGGGAUUAAUGUCCCAUACUAUUCUGAGGAUACCUAUUCUUAGAAUGAAAGCUCCGGCGGUUAAAGAUGGGCAUGCGUGACAUUAGCUAGUUGGUGAGGUAACGGCCCACCAAGGCGACGAUGUCUAGGGGUCCUGAGAGGGUUAACCCCCACACUGGUACUGAGACACGGACCAGACUCCUACGGGAGGCAGCAGUAAGGAAUAUUGGGCAAUGGACGCAAGUCUGACCCAGCCAUGCCGCGUGAAGGAUGAAUGUCCUAUGGAUUGUAAACUUCUUUUGUGCAGGAAAAACCCCCCGGUUUCGUACCGGGGCUGAUUGUACCGUAAGAAUAAGCACCGGCUAACUACGUGCCAGCAGCCGCGGUAAUACGGAGGGUGCAAGCGUUAUCCGGAUUUAUUGGGUUUAAAGGGUGCGUAGGCGGCCUUUUAAGUCAGUGGUGAAAACCUGCGGCUCAACCGUAGGCGUGCCAUUGAAACUGAAGGGCUUGAGUUAUCAUGAGGCAGGCGGAAUGUGUAGUGUAGCGGUGAAAUGCUUAGAUAUUACACAGAACACCGAUUGCGUAGGCAGCUUGCUAAAGGUACACUGACG
rnacentral:rRNA from 1 species